rnacentral:rRNA from 1 species
GACGAACGCUGGCGGCGUGCCUAAUACAUGCAAGUCGAACGCAGUGGGGCCGGGUGAGUAACACGUGGGUAACCUCCCAUCAGAGGGGAUACACCUUGGAAACAGGUGCUCAACCGAUACUGAUGGAUGGACCCGCGUGGCAUUAGCUAGUGGGUGAGGUAACGGCUCACCAAGGCCACGAUGCAUAGUCGACCGGAGAGGGUGAUAGGUCACACUGGAACUGAGACACGGCCCAGACUCCUACGGGAGGCAGCAGUAGGGAAUCUUCGGCAAUGGGCGAAAGUCUGAUCGAGCAACGCCGCGUGUGUGAAGAAGGUUUUCGGAUCGUAAAACUCUGUUAUUAGAGAAGCGUUAUCUAACGAUAAAGCCACGGCUAACUACGUGCCAGCCGCCGCGGUAAUUC